rnacentral:lncRNA from 1 species
UGUAAAUUUGAGCUCGAUCUAACGGUUGAAUUGAGGAAUAUUGUGGUUUAAGUGGGUUAAGGUCUCAUAAAGUAGAAUUUUAGGUCUAGUGGAGGUUUUUAAGAUUUCUUGCAAUCUACGAGUUGGACUGGAGUGAAACUUGCGUGAGAGGGUAUAAGACUUGAGUCUUGAUGUGUAUGAGAGUUUUGAGAUCAAUCGAACAGUGCAAAAGAGAGAUAUUGGCUCUCAAAGAUUGACAUCAAGAU